CCUACGUGAGGCAGCAGUGAGGAAUAUUGGUCAAUGGGCGCGAGCCUGAACCAGCCAAGUAGCGUGAAGGAUGACUGCCCUACGGGUUGUAAACUUCUUUUAUAAAGGAAUCAAGUGAGGCACGUUUGCCUUUUUGUAUGUACUUUAUGAAUAAGGAUCGGCUAACUCCGUGCCAGCAGCCGCGGUAAUACGGCGGAUCCGAGCGUUAUCCGGAUUUAUUGGGUUUAAAGGGAGCGUAGAUGGGUUGUUAAGUCAGUUGUGAAAGUUUGCGGCUCAACCGUAAAAUUGCAAUUGAUACUGGCAGUCUUGAGUACAGUUGAGGUAGGCGGAAUUCGUGGUGUAGCGGUGAAAUGCUUAGAUAUCACGAAGAACUCCGAUUGCGAAGGCAGCUUACUAAACUGCCACUGACAUUGAUGCUCGAAAGUGUGGGUAUCAAACAGGAUUAGAUACCCCUGUAGUC
rnacentral:rRNA from 1 species